rnacentral:lncRNA from 1 species
GUCUGGGUAACGGGGUCUGCAGCGGAGCCGCGAUGGAUGUGGAGGAGGUGAAAGCGUUCAGAGACCGCUGUUCUCAGUGUGCUGCUGUCUCCUGGGGCCUUACCAAAGAAGGCAAAUAUUACUGUACUUCCUGACACAGAUCGAUCUGAGGAAGUGGUGAGCGCUGCAGAUAUCCCCAACACCAAGAUCAACUCCAUCAACAGGGGGCUGAGACAGAGAAGCAAGCAUGGAUGAAGUCUUACACAAUUUUUGGAAGCGCUACCUUCAGAAGAGCAAGCAGGCCUAUUGUAAAAACCCAGUUCGUACAAGUGGAAGGAAAGCCAAAGUGAGCCCUGGACCCUGACAUGAGACACUAAAAUUCACUUUGUGUGGCAGAAAGACAAAGGCGUUUUUUUUUUUUUUUUUUUUUUUUGUGACUGCUUGAGUUUGACUGUGGUGCUUGCCUGUAGAUUUUCAGGGAGGAGGCUCCUGGUGCAAUCCAGAAUGAUCUAGACUUUACAGUGAAUUGUGGCCAUUUAUUAAACUAGUUGUAACAUAAAAGUUAUCUUCUGUCUUAGUUAGGGUUUUACUGCUGUGAACAGACACCAUGAUCAAGGCACUUCUUAUAAAGGACAACAUUUAAUUGGGGUUGGCUUCAGGUUCAGAGGUUCAGUCCAUUAUCAUCAAGGCAGGAACAUGGCCGAAUCUAGGCAGACAUGGUGCAGGUGGAGCUGUUAGUCUACUUCAUCUGAAGACUCCUACCAGAAUACUGGCUUCCAGGCAGCUAGGAUGAGGGUCUUAUAGCCCACACCCAGACCCUCUUCUGGUCUGUCUGUGCUGGUGCCCUGAUCAGACCUUGGGUGUGAACUCUGCAGCCAGCCCCACAACACCCAGAGGUAGCUCUACUCCCAGGCACUCUAACACACCCAGGAUCAUAGGAUCAGAGGUGAGGAGGACACAACAUCUGACCCAACACCAGGAGUAACUGGGACCAGUGCUACCCAGGCGUGCAGGAACUCCACCAGACCAGUGGCUUGGGUUCCUUCUGGUCUGUCUAGGCCAGUGCCCCAAGCAGACUUUGGUCACAAACUCCACAGCCCUACAACACCCAGAGGCAGCUCCACUCUCAGGUGGUCACACCCAUCUGGAUCCCAGGACAUUGGUCACACAAGGAUCUCAGGGUUCCAGAGGUAGUUUGACUCCCAGGAGCUCUGACAUACCUAGGAUCUCAGGAUCACAGGAUCCCAGAAUCACAGGAUCACAGAGACAGCUUGACUCUGAGGAGUUCUGACACAACAAGGAUCACAGGAAGGACCGGCUCCAGUCAGACAUAACCAGGGCAGGUAGCACUAGAGAUAACCAGAUGGCUGGAGGCAAGCAAAAGAACAGAAGCAACAGAAAGCAAGAAACCACAAAGGGAGACAACCCUGGAUCAGAUCAGCAGUCAUAGAUGCAAGCAUCACCAACAGAAUACAAGAUAGAAGAGAGAAUCUCAGGGGCAGAAGAUACCAUAGAAAACAUUGAUACAACAGUAAAAGAAAACACAAAAAGCAAAAAGCUCCUAACCCAAAAUAUCCAGGAAAUCCAGGACACAAUGAGAAGACCAAACCUAAGGAAAAUAGGUAUAGAAGAGAGAGAAGAUUCCCAACUUAAAGGGCCAGUAAAUAUCUCCAACAAAAUUAUACUUCUAUAAAACUUCCCUAAUCUAAAGAAUGAGAUGCCCAUGAACAUACAAGAAGCCUACAGAACUCGAAAUAGACUGGACCAGAAAAGAAAUUCCUCCUGUCACAUAAUAAUCAAAACACCAAAUGCACUAAACAAAGAAAGAAUUUUAAAAGCAUUAAGGGAAAAAGGUCAAGUAACAUAUAAAGGCAGACCUAUCAGAAUUACACCAGACUUCUUACCAGAGACUAUGAAAGCUCGAAGAUCCUGGACAGAUGUCAUAUAGACCCUAAGAGAACACAAAUGCCAAUUCAGGCUACUAUACCCAACAAAACUCUCAAUUACCAUAGAUGGAGAAAACAAGAUAUUCCAUGACAAAACCAAAUUUACACAAUGUCUUUCCACAAAUCCAGCCCUACAAAGGAUAAUAGAUGGAAAACACCAACACAAAGAGUGAAACUACAUCCUAGAAGAAGAAAGUAAUCUUUCAACAAACCCACACAAACAUAAUUUCACCUUUAACAACAAAAAUAACGGGAAGUAACAAUCACUUUUCCUUAAUAUCUCUUAAUAUGAAAAUUAAUAUUACCAAUAUAUCCUAAUCGAUUGAAAUUGAAAAAUAUGAGCAAUUAGAAAUUUGUUGGCUGUCAUCCAGUGGUCUCUUUAAUUUGGUAAUUGGAGAAAUAGGUCUUAUAUUGUACAAUCCAUACACACUUUCUGCUUGUUUGUACAUGACAGUGUUGCUGUGUGCCACACAAUGGUCUUGAAAUCAUGCUUCUCCUAUCUCAGCCUCUCUACUAGUAGGAUUGUUUAUUUGAUGUUCUUACACUAUACUAUGGUUUUCAGAACAGCUUACUUAUUUUAAAAUGAUUUACACAGCCAAAAGAAGACAAUUAAUUUGGGAUGUGGCUUGAAAGAGAACAGCAAAGAGUGAGACUGAAUGCUCUACUUGAUAUUUAUAAUUAUUUUAUCAAUUUUGAAGAAGAGGACUUUUUUGUUUGUUUGUCUGUUUGUUUGUUUGUUUUUGAGACAGGGUUUCUCUGUAAAGCCCUGGCUGUCCUGGAACUCACUUUGUAGACCAGGCUGGCCUCGAACUCAGAAAUCCGCCUGCCUCUGCCUCCCGAGUGCUAGAAUUAAAGGUGUGCGCCACCACACCCAGCUAGAAGAGGACUUUGUAAGUUACUCUUAUUCUGAGAUGAAUGCUUUUCAAAAUCAUCACAGCCAAGGAACUAGAAUCUUACCCUCAUGUGAUGUCUGUGCCACCCUCCAAACAGAACCAUACUUCAUUGAAACAUUCGAUGAAUGACUUCAUGAAUAGACCAUCUCAAUACUCACACCAUUUCUUAAAGGCAUGUAACCUAUCCCUUGUGGGCUGAGAAUGAAGACAAUCACUCAAUUCAAGUAGCUUUGACCAUAGCAGGAAAUCUGUAUCUAAAAAUCGUGCCUACAAUUCAUUCCUUGGUGCAGCAAACUUGUCAACUCUUAGCUUAGCUACUAUGGAGGUGAAAUCCUUUGGUGAUGUAAGGUAAAUUGAAGCAUAGCCUUAUUACACUGACCUCCAAUUCCAAAAAUUGUUCUUAUUUUGGGUUUGUACCACAGUAAGAGCCAAGAUUUUAAGCUCUACUAAAAACUAACUAACUAACUAACUAACUAACUAACUAACUAACUAACUAACUAACUAACUAACAAAAAGACUUUAUUUAUGUUCAUUAAAGCAAACUAAUAGCCGGGGUGGUGGUGGUGGUGGCGCACACCUUUAAUCCCAGCACUUGGGAGGCAGAGGUAGGCAGAUUCCUGGGUUCAAGGACAGCCUGGUCUACAAAGUGAGUUCCAGGACAGCCAGGGCUAUACAGAAAAACCCUGUCUCGAAAAAAACCAAAACCAAACCAAACCAAACC